AUGGACUACAAUGCUUAGACCACAUUUUCUCAGGUUCUAGGAAAAUGCGAGCUGAUGGCAAUACCUGAAGUCAUCCACUCAACGCAGAAUUCCUGCACCAGUUUUCUCAUCAUGUACUUCACAUUCGGAACUGGAAAAUCUAGGAGCCGAAGUUUGUUGGGAUCAUU